AAUGAACGUUGGCGGCGUGGAUUAGGCAUGCAAGUCGAGCGCUCAUCAGCAAUGGUGGGAGCGGCGAACGGCGUAGUAAUGCAUCGGAACGUACCCUCUGGUCGGGGAUAGCUACGGGAAACUGUAGGUAAUACCCGAUGAACUCUGCGGAGCAAAGGUGAGAUUCCGCCGGAGGAGCGGCUGAUGUGAUAUUAGCUAGUUGGUGGGGUAAUGGCCUACCAAGGCGAUGAUGUCUAGGGGGUGUGAGAGCAUGGCCCCCACGACCGGAACUGAGAUACUGUCCGGACACCUACGGGUGGCUGCAGUCGAGAAUCUUCCGCAAUGGACGAAAGUCUGACGGAGCGACGCCGCGUGCGGGAUGAAGGCCCUUGGGUUGUAAACCGCUGUCAGAGGGGAUGAAAUCUCCGGAGGUUCUCCUUCGGAGUUGACAGAGCCUCAAAGGAAGCACGGGCUAAGUACGUGCCAGCCGCCGCUGUAACAC
rnacentral:rRNA from 1 species